rnacentral:tRNA from 1 species
CGGGAUGUGGUGUAACGGCUAACAUUCUCGCUUUGGGAGCGAGCGACUCCGGGUUCGAAUCCCGGCAUCCCGA